CCGGGGCUCCACCCCCCUCCCCACGGCGCUGCUCUGGGCUGGAGCUUCAGAUCCGGCCCUCGGGCGAUAGUUGGAUUCAGGAUGGCGUCGGACUCGGAGGACCGCGGGACUGCCUGCACGCUGGAGUUCGCGGUGCAAAUGACCUGUCAGAGCUGCGUGGACGCGGUGCGCACGUCUCUGCAAGGGAUCGCAGGCGUCCAAAGUGUGGAGGUGCAGUUGGAGAACCAGAUGGUCCUGGUGCAGACCACCCUGCCCAGCCAGGAGGUGCAGGCCCUUCUAGAAGGCACUGGGAGGCAGGCGGUCCUCAAGGGCAUGGGCAGUGGCCUGUUGCAGAAUUUAGGGGCAGCCGUGGCCAUUCUCGGGGGGCCUGGCCCUGUGCAGGGAGUGGUGCGCUUCCUGCAGCUGACCCCUGAGCGCUGCCUAAUCGAGGGGACCAUUGAUGGCCUGCAGCCUGGGCUGCAUGGACUCCACAUCCAUCAGUUCGGGGACCUCACGAGGAACUGCAACAGCUGUGGGGACCACUUUAACCCUGAUGGAAUGUCCCAUGGGGGCCCCCAGGACUCUGAACGGCCUGGUGAGGGAGACACUCAGAACUCCGUGGUUGCAGCACAGCCAGAGCAUCUUUGCAGGAGCCUCCGGGAGGCCCUGGGAACCCAGAGCAAGCUCCAGAUCCAGUCCGAAGGGCACAGGCAGUGGGAGAGAGCUUCCCAGAGAAGCACCGCGGAGACCUGGGGAAUGUCCAUGCCGAUGAGGAUGGCCGAGCUGUCUUCAGGAUUGAGGACGAGCAACUGAAGGUGUGGGAUGUGAUUGGCCGAAGCCUGGUCGUUGAUGAGGGAGAAGAUGACCUGGGCCGGGGCGGGCAUCCCUUGUCCAAGAUCACAGGGAACUCGGGAGAGAGGUUGGCCUGUGGCAUCAUCGCACGCGCCGCUGGCCUUUUCCAGAACCCAAAGCAGAUCUGCUCCUGUGAUGGCCUCACCAUCUGGGAGGAGCGGGGCCGGCCCAUCGCUGGUCAGGGACGGAAGGAGCCCGCCCAGCCCCCUGCCCACCUCUGAGCACGGCCUCUGCCUUGGGUCUGUCACUGUCCUCCCUGCUGAGCACCGUCCACUUCCAGAGGGAGGCCCUGCUCACCCAGUCCUGGAGAACCAGUGUGCGGGCUGUGUUUCUUCUCAAAGGGUUGCUUGCUCUUCUCUUGGCAAAUUAAAGUUUUAUUUUCACAUGGAA